GCACCACUCGCUUAAUGGUAGAGCGUCUGUUUCACAUACAGAAGAUCGGGGUUCGAUUCCCUGGUGGUGCA
rnacentral:tRNA from 1 species